UGAAGGCCAGGCUGAAGACUUUGCCGGAUUAGCUGAGAGGUGGUGCAUGGCCGUCGUCAGUUCGUGCUGUGAAGCAUCCUGUUAAGUCAGGCAACGAGCGAGACCCACGCCCACAGUUGCCAGCGUACUCUCCGGAGUGACGGGUACACUGUGGGGACCGCCGCUGCUAAAGCGGAGGAAGGAAUGGGCAACGGUAGGUCAGUAUGCCCCGAAUAUCCCGGGCUACACGCGAGCUACAAUGGUUGGUACAAUGGGUAUCUACCCCGAAAGGGGACGGAAAUCUCCUAAAACCAAUCUUAGUUCGGAUUGAGGGCUGCAACUCGCCCUCAUGAAGCUGGAAUCCGUAGUAAUCGCGUUUCAACAGAACGCGGUGAAUACGUCCCUGCUCCUU
rnacentral:rRNA from 1 species